rnacentral:rRNA from 1 species
AGCUCCCCCAGCGUAUCUUCCCGUUUUUGCGUUUCCCCCUCUCUUCGUUGGCUCUCUUCCCUCCUUUUCCUUUUCUCUCCCUAUCUUUACUGGCCCAUUUGCUUGUGUGAUUGGCGGAGGUUUCGGGGUGCUCUUUACUGAGUGUCCCGGGGCGCCGUCAGGUUUACUUUGAAAAAAUUAGAGUGCUCAAAGCAAGCUUUUCACGCUUGAAUAUUCGUGCAUGGAAUAAUAGAAUAGGAACUCGUUUCUAUUUUGUUGGUUUUCGGAAAUCGAGUUAAUGAUUAAUAGGGACAAUUGGGGGCAUUAGUAUUCAGGCGACAGAGGUGAAAUUCUUGGACCGUCUGAAGACUAACUACUGCGAAAGCAUUUGCCAAGAGUGUUUUCA